rnacentral:rRNA from 1 species
GACGAACGCUGGCCGCGUGCUUAACACACGCCAGUCGAACGGAAAGGCCCUGCUUUUGUGGGGUGCUCGAGUGGCGAACGGGUGAGUAACACGUGAGUAACCUGCCCUUGACUUUGGGAUAACUUCUGGAAACUGGGGCUAAUACCGGAUAGGAGCUCCUGCUGCAGGGUGGGGGUUGGAAAGUUUCGGCGGUUGGGGAUGGACUCGCGGCUUAUUAGCUUGUUGGUGGGGUAGUGGCUUACCAAGGCUUUGACGGGUAGCCGGCCUGAGAGGGUGACCGGCCACAUGGGGACUGAGAUACGGCCCAGACUCCUCCGGGAGGCAGCAGUGGGGAAUAUUGCACAAUGGGCGGAAGCCUGAUGCAGCAACGCCGCGUGCGGGAUGACGGCCUUCGGGUUGUAAACCGCUUUCGCCUGUGACGAAGCGUGAGUGAAGGUAAUGGGUAAAGAAGCACCGGCUAACUACGUG